rnacentral:lncRNA from 1 species
AAUACAGACAUAAAUACAUGAAUACACAGAGCAAAAUAUGUACACUAUUUACAAUUAUACUGAUAGUAUUUAGCCAGGAGGGCACACAUGGGAAUUUAUAAAUCUAAUGAAAGUACACAGCUUUCUCAAUUUAGAUUUUUUAUUUAAAUUCAUAAUUUUCUUAAACAUAAUUAUAUUUGGACGAUUUACAUAUUUUUUAUCAAUACAUUCGUUUCUUUUUUCUGACAUCUCUGUGCACAUCAUAAUAUAAUGAUACUCAUCUCCAAGAUCUUUAGAGUUACAUAAUUUACAAAUUCGUCUAUCUCUCUGAAUAUUUGUCCAUCUCCCUAUCUCGAUGGGUAAUUUAUGGUUGAUGGUUCUAAAUUUGCAUAACGUAUAAAUAUCACGAAAUUCUAAAAUAUCAAAAUAGUUCUCAAACCCAAAAGUAUCCUUAAAAAUUCGAUAAUUUAAUGUCUUCGAACAUGCUUGCACAUUUGAUAACCAUGUUUGUUGAAACUGAUCUUGGAGUGAUGUUCUGAUUGUAUUCUUUAGCCAAAUGUCACUAAUACAUGUUCGAGACAACCACACAAAAGAUAAUCCCGUUUCAUUAAAAAUAGAUUCAACAUGGUUUAACCAUCUAAAUUUUACAUCAUUUUCAUUUGACAGCUUAUACAGUAGUUUAUAAAUGGUCGCUGAUAAUUUAGUCGGUUUACCACAUACUAAUUUCACCCAAAAUGAUACCAUACGGACUUUAAUAUCUAAAUUGAUGGGAUAUCGUCCAGGUUCACUAUAUAUUACGCAAUUUGGGGUAGAAGACUUUAGGUGCAGAAGAAGCUUACAGAAUUUUAGUUGAACUUUCUCCAAAAUGUCGUUAUUCC